AAGUUAACGUCAAUGUGCAUGACUAUUAAUCAUACACCCUUCUUCACUUUUGAAAGUGCUUUACAACCCUCAGGCCUUCUUCACACACGCGGCAUUGCUGGAUCAGGCUUCCGCCCAUUGUCCAAUAUUCCCC
rnacentral:rRNA from 1 species